rnacentral:rRNA from 1 species
AGAGUUUGAUCCUGGCUCAGAACGAACGCUGGCGGCGUGCUUAAUACAUGCAAGUCGAACGAGAAAGCACCUUCGGGUGUGAGUACAGUGGCAGACGGGUGAGUAAUACUUAGGUAAUCUACCUCCGAGAUGGGGACAACCUUCCGAAAGGAGGGCUAAUACCGAAUAAGACCACAGUUACUUCGGUGACAGGGGUUAAAGGUGGCCUCUACUUGUAAGCUAUCACUUGGAGAUGAGCCUAAGCACCAUUAGCUUGUUGGUGGGGUAACGGCCUACCAAAGCUACGAUGGUUAGCUGAUCUGAGAGGUUGAUCAGCCACACUGGAACUGAGACACGGUCCAGACUCCUACGGGAGGCAGCAGUAGGGAAUUUUGCGCAAUGGGGGAAACCCUGACGCAGCGACGCCGCGUGGGUGAUGAAGGAUUUCGGUUCGUAAAGCCCUGUCAGGAGGGAAGAAAAACGGUAUGGCUAAUAUCCAUACCGAUUGACGGUACCUCCAGAGGAAGCACCGGCUAACUACGUGCCAGCAGCCGCGGUAAUACGUAGGGUGCAAGCGUUGUUCGGAAUUAUUGGGCGUAAAGAGCGUGUAGGUGGUCAGGAAAGUUGGAUGUGAAAGCCCUAGGCUCAACCUAGGAAGUGCAUCCAAAACUGCUUGGCUAGAGGGCGAGAGAGGGAGGUGGAAUUCCUAGUGUAGAGGUGAAAUUCGUAGAUAUUAGGAGGAAUACCGGUGGCGAAGGCGGCCUCCUGGAUCGAUCCUGACACUGAGACGCGAAAGCGUGGGGAGCAAACAGGAUUAGAUACCCUGGUAGUCCACGCCGUAAACGAUGAGUACUAGAUGUUGCGGGAAUUGACCCCUGCAGUGUCGCAGCUAACGCAUUAAGUACUCCGCCUGGGAAGUACGGUCGCAAGGCUAAAACUCAAAGGAAUUGACGGGGGCCCGCACAAGCGGUGGAGCAUGUGGUUUAAUUCGAUGCUACGCGAAGAACCUUACCUGGGUUAGACUACUUCGGACAUCCCUAGAGAUAGGGCUUUCACUUCGGUGACCGAAGGUUCAGGUGCUGCAUGGCUGUCGUCAGCUCGUAUCGUGAGAUGUCGGGUUAAGUCCCUUAACGAGCGCAACCCUUAUCCCUAGUUGCCAUCAUUCAGUUGGGCACUCUAUGGAGACUGCCGGUGUUAAACCGGAGGAAGGCGGGGAUGACGUCAAGUCCUCAUGGCCCCUAUGUCCAGGGCAACACACGUGCUACAAUGGCCGGUACAGAGGGUCGCCAACCCGUGAGGGGGAGCUAAUCUCAUAAAGCCGGUCUCAGUUCGGAUUGGAGUCUGCAACUCGACUCCAUGAAGUUGGAAUCGCUAGUAAUCGCGGAUCAGAACGCCGCGGUGAAUACGUUCCCGGGCCUUGUACACACCGCCCGUCACACCACGAAAGUCAAUUGUACCAGAAGUCGCUGGCUUAACCGUAAGGAGAGAGGUGCCCAAGGUGCGGUUGAUGAUUGGGGUGAAGUCGUAACAAGGUA